rnacentral:rRNA from 1 species
GAUGAACGCUGGCGGUAUGCUUAACACAUGCAAGUCGAACGGACUCUUCGGAGUUAGUGGCGGACGGGUGAGUAACGCGUGAGAAUCUGGCUUUGGGUUCGGGACAACCACUGGAAACGGUGGCUAAUACCGGAUGUGCCGAGAGGUAAAAGAGAAAUUGCCUGAAGAUGAGCUCGCGUCUGAUUAGCUAGUUGGUGAGGUAAAGGCUCACCAAGGCAGCGAUCAGUAGCUGGUCUGAGAGGAUGACCAGCCACACUGGGACUGAGACACGGCCCAGACUCCUACGGGAGGCAGCAGUGGGGAAUUUUCCGCAAUGGGCGAAAGCCUGACGGAGCAAUACCGCGCGAGGGAAGAAGGCUCUUGGGUUGUAAACCUCUUUUCUUAGGGAAGAACAAAAUGACGGUACCUAAGGAAUCAGCAUCGGCUAACUCCGUG